UCAGAAAAUAGUAGAAUUUUAAUGCCAGUAUCAUCUUAACUGAAAACAAACGAAUACACAACUUUGAGAGCUUGAAGCUUCCUUAAAACUUUCUCUUGUUAGCUAACAGGCAGAUAUACUUUAACUGCUAACUGCCUUAUACCAGAUUCAAGCUUCUGACAUCUCAAAUUUUAUUUCUUAAAUUUUGUCUAAAUCUUAACCAUGUUCCCAGGUGCUAUUCAGAAAGAGUGUGUGUGUAGAAUUUCAACUUCUGCUACCCUUAGUAGCCAAUAUGUUAAAAUGAUUUUCGCUAACAGCAAUUUUGAAUUACCAGAAAUUAAUGCCAUACAACCAAAGGAAGCUAUUUCACUGUCUCCCAACUUACAAAGUUAUGUAAUGCUUUGAGAUAAAGAUGUCAUGCAGAGUUUUUUUCUUUCUCUUUUUUUCAUUGAGUUACCUGCAUAUAUGUUACUUACACUGAAUUCUUUAGCUUCUUUCCCAUAAAUUUUAGUGGAAGAAAAUACAUUUUGCUCUUUCAUUUGUAAAGUCUAGAAUAUGAAAACACAGUUUGAGACUGUUUAAUGAAGGAACCUGGCAAUGUAAGUAUUAUAAUUUCCUUUAUGUUUGUGGCAGGCAACAGGAUUACCUUGUUAAACUUCUGGCUUAUGUAUGAAAAAUAUCAGAAAAGUAAGGGCAAAUUGAAAGUAGUUUUAUAGUUGCCUUUACUUCAUAUGCUUUUCUUAAGCAACAAAUUGCCAUAAUUGAAGUUUGGCAGCUUUUUUAAUGAAAAACUAAACUAUGGGUUAAACUCCUUGGUUUAAUACAAUUUGUGUUUCUGUUAACUAGCAGCAGAAUUUCAGCAUUUGCUACUUACUGGUAGAGAAGAAAAAUUCCACAGCACUGCCAGUACAGGUUAGUUUAAUCUGUAAGUACCUGAUGUUCCUAUUUGAAAUAAUUUGUUCAAAUGAUACCACUUAAAUACGAGGGGAAUUUUGGUCUCUGAAAUGUGAAUGUAUCUGUUAUCUACUACUGUUUUCAGUAGUGAGUGAACGUCUAGAUUUUUUUUUGAAGAUCUGUAAUGGUUUUAACUACAGUUGUGGGUAGGUAAUAUCUGCAAGCGCUUUUAAGGAAAAUUUAAUACAGAACCUUAAGAAAUAGCCAUUGGUGUUAUUGAAAAGUGUGAAGAUCUAAAGUUGAAGUCACUUCUUCAGUAACAUGGCUAUUAUAAAAGAGGCUGUUUUAUCAGUGAACCAAUUAUAGGAUACUAUAUUUGUUGUGUUGGGGAAUAAGCAUUUCUGUUUGUAAGAAUCCAUAGCAGUAAUGUAAAUCUUUCGAUUUUUGUUAGCUAUUGCUAAUUACUGUCUCCUACCAACAGAUUUUUACUUUGUUAGGCCUGUAAGCCAGGAGCUUGUUCUUCUCUGAUUUUUUUUCAUUUUGUUGUGUUUUGUUGGCCCAUUUCAGCACUUCAGAGGCUACCUACAAAUGAGGUUUUGCCCAGCUGUUUUAUCUUACUCCAGAGUUACUGCUCUGCCUCUGUUCUUUUUUCCUUCUUCCCUAUUCCAUAUUCCUGGAAAUUUUGGCAUUUUAUUUUUAUUUUAUAGAAUAUUUUACACCUCAAAAUAGGAGAGAUUCUUUGUGAUUGGAUAAAAGAUGCAACCUUUUCCAGAAUAGCUGCAUACAUUUAUUUUUAUUUAAGCUUUGUGUACCUCAUCUCUACAUAUCAGCAUGGGAGAUGAAAACUUUCUGUGCUGUGGCACAUAGCAUAGUUUCACAGCUGGAUGAGCUGUAAAGCUCCUGUGCUUUAAUUCACUUCUCAAGGGCAUGUUAUCACAUAGGGAAUUUGAGGGUCUUUUGACAUUAUUGGUGGAUAAUUAUAUAGAAACUAGGCAUUGGAAAGAACAUACUAGUGUGGUAGCUGAACAGACACUUGAAUAGUUUUGCCAGCUCAUCUGUGUGGUCUAGAGUAGUUUCAUGAGUGACUUGAUGCUUCCAGCAGUAUUGCUUAUUUUAGAAUUUUGAAAUCUUCCGUGACGCUGCAGAAUUCGUCAUACUAACAUAAAAAGUUUCAAGGGGAUUGUAUCUUCCCAGGUUUUAGAAUAGUUGCAGUUGAAGCCUGUCUCCUGGCAUCUUCUCUACAUCAGUUCUCAGUCAUUCACACUAAAUCGCUUUAUCUGCAAAACUAGCUACGUGCCAAUUUUUGAAUAAUGUUGCAUAGGUGUUUCUCCCUAGAAGAAAAAAAAGGAAAGUUGUGUAAUAAAAUUUAUAACUUACCUUUGCCUAUAUUUCCUAAAUCUUAAUGGCAGAUGUGCAUGAAUAAUAGGGAUACCUUGCUGUGAGGCCAUUAUCCUAUUAACAGCAUGUAUGCAUCUUUCUUUUAACUUCUGUGGUUGACCCUAGUUGAUACUUAAUGCAAUGCUCGUAAUAAGUCGGAAUGAGUAACUGAUUGCUUUUGGCUGCUGAAUUACUUUGUGAAGUCUCAGUUUUGACAGUGGUUGGAUGCUGACCUGCACUACUUGUAACACCAGCUUGGCAAUCAAUGGGGAUAACUAAAGGGUAGCGGUGUUCUCUAGUGUCUUACAAUAAAAAGUGUAUUUGUCCAGGGUAGAUCCUAAUAUGAACUCUUGUAGAACGUCGUAUCUUUGUGAAACUUUUUAUGGCAAUUCAUUACAGUACUUUUUGGUAGAAUUAAGUUUAUUUUCUUUUGAGACGGGACCAAAACAAUACUAGGAAUCUGAGCUUUCAUAACCAGGUGAGCAGUCUAAGUUGUAGCUCAACUUCUGAUACACCGUUACAGCAGCUGUACAGUCUAAUGUGGUUCAGAAGUCUUCCCAGUUCUGGUACGGUAUAUAUGGAACAGUGAGUCAGUUCAUGGUAUUUCCUUUUAGACUUCUGCCUAAUGACUCCGAAUCACCCCUUCAGAGAUUCUGGUCACUGUGCAGCGAACCCAGACUCCGAGACUGUUUUUAGUACCUUCUUAAAGUACCUUAAAGCACAUGAUUGAAUUAUGUUCCCUCUGAGUAGCAGUGCACCCACAGAAGUUAGUGUGUCAUGAAGGUUUUUUCCUUGAUACUUGAUACUGCUUUUGUGUAAGUAGUAUGAAAGGGAUGGAAUCAUUGAUCUUUUUCAAAAGACGGGUGGCAAAGUAUUGAUGUUGAAUUUAAUUUGAGAAAGUGACAGACUGGUAAGUAUGUGCAUCACUUUAAUGCAUGCAAAUAGUAGUAACAGUAACUAGCUUAAUUUUAUAGCAUUCAGUUUACAGAGAAGAUUCAAAGAAAAUACGGAGCUAACAUCAUUUGCAUCCACUGAGAACCUUCUAUGAACUGUAUGCUUCAGGAAUGGAUCAUUGCACAUAUACACAUCUGUAAUGUGUGUCUGCUACUUUGUAACAGUCUCUGAUUAAACAGAAGUGAACCAC